CUGCCUCUGACUCAACUUUUACCACCCAGGCAUCCUACACUCAAUCUGCCGAACUAUAGUCUACUUUUUAACCAGGAUUAAAGGUUUCCUUCCUGGUUCUGCUGAAGCUGACUGGCUGGAGUCACAUGCACACCUCUGCUGCUGUCCAUUGAGUUCUCUGGGGCUGGGUUUGGCCGACUGAGCUGCUGCGUCCAGGAUCUAGGAUCCUAGGCUCUGCCUCUGCUGUUCCCCUGUUUACCCUCCUCUAUGUGCUCCAAUUCGGACACUUUUUAUUACAUAGAAUACAGGUGGUGGAAAUGAGCAUCCUUGCCUUGUACUGGAUCUUAAAG
rnacentral:lncRNA from 1 species